UGAGGAAUAUUGCGCAAUGGAGGCAACUCUGACGCAGCCAUGCCGCGUGCAGGAAGAAGGCGCUACGCGUUGUAAACUGCUUUUAACCGGGAAGAAACCCCAGGACGUGUCCUGGGUUGACGGUACCGGAGGAAUAAGCACCGGCUAACUUCGUGCCAGCAGCCGCGGUAAUACGAAGGGUGCAAGCGUUAUCCGGAUUCAUUGGGUUUAAAGGGUGCGUAGGUGGGGCGUUAAGUCAGUGGUGAAAGCCCGCAGCUCAACUGUGGAAUUGCCAUUGAUACUGGCGCUCUUGAGUGCGCUUGAAGUAGGCGGAAUGUGCCGUGUAGCGGUGAAAUGCUUAGAUAUGGCACAGAACACCAAUUGCGAAGGCAGCUUACUAAGGCGAUACUGACGCUGAGGCACGAAAGCGUGGGGAUCAAACA
rnacentral:rRNA from 1 species